rnacentral:rRNA from 1 species
CCCUUAGAUGUCCUGGGCUGCACGCGCGCUACACUGAUGUGUCCAGUAAGCACCUAACCUCUUCCGAAAGGAACGGGUAACCUUUGCAAAGCACAUCGUGAUGGGGAUAGAUUAUUGCAAUUAUUAGUCUUGAACGAGGAAUUCCUAGUAAGCACAAGUCAUCAGCUUGUGUUGAUUACGUCCCUGCCCUUUGUACACACCGCCCGUCGCUCCUACCGAUUGAAUGUUCCGGUGAGCUCUUCGGACUGCGCGGUCUGCAGUUUCUGCGUUCCGUGCGGAAAGGUGCGCAAACCUUAACAUUUAGAGGAAGGAGAAGUCGUAACA